CCGCCAACCCCGGAGGACGGCGGGGGGUGGCGGCGGCGCGUCCCGGUUACCUCACAGGUUGGCGGUACCGCCAUGGCGGCGGUGCGGGACGUUGAGAUCGACCCGGAGGGCACGUUCAAGUACAUCUUGGUGCGCCUGCAGCGCCCGGGCGGCGAGGAGCGGCGGGACAUCGUCCGCGGCACCAAGGCGGCCGAGUUCCACAAUCAUAUAUUUGAAAAAGUAAAUCCUGAGAUGGAAAAGCUGGGAUAUGAGUGCAAGUGCCUUGGAGGAGGGAAAAUUGAUCAUAAUAGCAAAGACAAGAAAAUUAGGGUAUUUGGGCUUUCUACAGGCUAUGGAAAAGCAGAUCAUUCGGUGACUGUAGAGUUACUGAAAAAAGUGUAUACAGAUUAUGAAAUUACAUGGUCAGAUGACAAGAAAUAAAUGGCUACCUAUGAACACAACAAGCAUUUCAAAACUGUACUUACGGGAAAGACAUAAUUUAGACCGGAUUUCUUAUUGCGAUGACUGUUUAAGAAAGCAAGGGGAUGGGGCGAGGGGAGAAAAGGGGGUGAUGAUUUGGAAUGAGCUGAUAGAGUUACCAGCUGACUUCUAUCUUUGUUUCUUCAGACAAGAAAUUGGGCCUGAUGGUGUGCAGUUACUAUGAGAUUGUGGCUCUAGCAGUCUUCACUUGAAAGUCCUACAAAAUCCGAUUCUGUAUUUGCAUGAAAACAGAGCUAUCUUUGAGCAAUCCAAGA